rnacentral:ncRNA from 2 species
GGUUGGGCGCAAGCUUCAAGAAUUGUUAGUCGGGGAACUAGCA